GACGAACGCUGGCGGCGUGCUUAACACAUGCAAGUCGAACGGUAAGGCCCCUUUGGGGGUACUCGAGUGGCGAACGGGUGAGUAACACGUGAGUAACCUGCCCUUGACUUCGGGAUAACUUCAGGAAACUGGGGCUAAUACCGGAUAGGAAUCCUUGCUGCAUGGUGGGGGUUGGAAAGCUUCGGCGGUUUUGGAUGGACUCGCGGCUUAUCAGCUUGUUGGUGGGGUAGUGGCUUACCAAGGCUGUGACGGGUAGCCGGCCUGAGAGGGCGACCGGCCACAUUGGGACUGAGAUACGGCCCAGACUCCUACGGGAGGCAGCAGUGGGGAAUAUUGCACAAUGGGCGGAAGCCUGAUGCAGCAACGCCGCGUGCGGGAUGACGGCCUUCGGGUUGUAAAACGCUUUCAGCAGGGGCGAAGCUUGUGGUGACGGUACCUGCAGAAGAAGCACCGGCUAACUACGUG
rnacentral:rRNA from 1 species